rnacentral:rRNA from 1 species
GUCUACGGCCAUACCACCCUGAACAUGCCCGAUCUCGUCUGAUCUUGGAAGCUAAGCGGGGUCGGGCCUGGUUAGUACUUGGAUGGAAGAACUAAAAUACUGGGUAAGUACCAAAGAUG